AGCACUUAAUGUUUUAUCAAAAGUCAUAAACUUAGGGUUUAGAGUUAAAGGGUGGGGUUUAGGAUUUAGGGUUUAGGACUUAGGGUUUAGAGUUUAGGGUUUAGGGUUUAGAGUUUAGGGUUUAGGGUUUAUGGUUUAGGGUUUAGGGUUUAGGGUUUAGGGUUUAGAGUUUAGGGUUUAGGGUUUAGGGUUUAGAGCUGAGAAAUGAGGUUUUGGGGAUAAGAUUUCAAAUUUUGAAAAAUAAAAAAAUUAAAAUUUUCAAAGGAUAAACUUAGAAAUGUGCUAUUUUGGUCAUUUUAGUUUUGAAGUGCUAUUUUUGUGAUAUAAACUUAGAAAGGUGCUAUUUUGAAAAUUUGCCAUUUUUUUUAUAAAACAUAUUUUCUCUAUAGGACGAUUCAAACACCUCACGGAUAAAAUCGUAUUUAUUACCACAUCAUAUGAUUGUAUGCAUCAAUGCAUGACUAUUCGUGUUUUAUAAUAAUAAUAUAUGUUUUUAUCUAAAUAAGCAUAUGCUCACGACACCAUUAUCCCUCGAAAAAAGACACCAUAAUAGCGGAUAAGCUGGCAUGUAAUGCUCAAAAUCUGUUUAUGUUGAUUCUGUUUUUUACACUAACAAAUUUAUAAUCUGUUUAGGUUACUAGCCUUUUGUUGUAAAAAAAUAAGGGGAUUUGCCAAAUAUGACUCAAAACUUGAUUUUAAAUACAAAACUUUAUCUAAACUUGAAUCAAAUAGAAAACUAACCUAAAAGUCUUGUGAAAUUACAGCAAGCUCCUUGUGACCAAACAAAAAAACAGAACUCAAUUUUACGAAUAUAGUUCUGGAAAGUCGUCUGAAUCUUAUGAGAUAUUGUAAGUCGUCUAGACGAUUUCCAGG
rnacentral:lncRNA from 1 species